rnacentral:tRNA from 2 species
GACUCGUUAGCUCAGUUGGUAGAGCACAACACUUUUAAUGUUGGGGUCUCGGGUUCGAGCCCCGAACGGGUCACAA